rnacentral:tRNA from 1 species
GCGACACUAGCUCAGUUGGUAGAGCGCAAACUUGCCAAGGUUGAGGUCACGAGUUCGAACCUCGUGUGUCGCUCCA